rnacentral:lncRNA from 1 species
AAUGAAAACUACUCUUCUUCUAGAAUCUUCUGCUCCUCUUCUUCGAGCUCUCAGCUCAAUACUAUAGAAAUAUAACAUGGUAUCAAAGCCACUACUGAUCGCUAGCUAUAAUCAGUACUAGAGACUAUCGAUUUCACCUGAUCAAUGAGAAUAACAGCUACUGUUCUAUUGCUUACAGUAAGCUUUAAUGGCGGUUACUCGAAACUCAGCUGCAAAUCCUUCAACUACAACUGCAGCACCUAGAAAUACACCUACUUCAGCUGGUACAAUUGAAAUUGACCACAAUCAUCCUCUGUAUUUGCAUCUAAACGACACUCCAGAUAGCUCUCUUAUUUCUAUCCAGCUUACUGGCACUGAAAAUUGUGCCAUGUGGAGUAGAUCUAUGGCGUUGAGUCUCAUAGGCAAGAACAAAAUAGUUUUUAUUGAUGGGAGAUAUCCUAAAAAUCACUUUGAUGAAUCAUUACAUGAUCAGUGGGAGAGAUUUAAUGCUGUUGUUUUGUCAUGGAUUAUGAAUUUAGUACGAAAGGAUCUGUUGAGUAGUAUUAUCUAUGCCUCUAAUGAUCAUAAUGUGUGGAUAGAUUUACAGGAAAGGUUUGAUAAGGUGAAUGGCUCUAGAGUAUUCUACUUGCAUAGAGAAAUUGUGACCCUCUCUCAGGGAACUCUGUCAGUUGCUGAUUAUUUUUCUCGAAUAAGAACUCUUUGGGAUGAAUGUGAUGCUAUUAUGCCUUCUCCUAGAUGUAGCUGCCCUGAAUCUAGAAGUUAUGCCCAACACUUUGAUUAUCAAAAAGUAUUACAGUUUCUAAUGGGUGUAAAUGAGACAUACUCUUAGUGUAGAAGCCAAAUCCUGUUAAUAACCCCUGUACCAUCCAUUAGCAAAGUGUACUCCAUGAUUGUGGAUCAUGAAAGUCAAAGAUCCAUAGCUUUUGGUUCCGUUGUGGGUCAUAUUAGUGAUACACUGGAUACAACAACUCUCUUUACCCAUAAACCAGGUUAUAAAGGCAAAAGUGGAUAUCUAGGUCCUAGUGGUUCAGGAGGUACAAGUUCAGUUAAGAUGACAAGUAUCUAUGAGGGAAGACCACCAGCUUCCACCUAUAGAGGUUCUCCACAGAAAAGACCACCAAUGGUUUGUGAGUUUUGUGGUUAUAAUGGUCAUACUAAGGAUCAAUGUUUCAAUAUGAUUGGUUACCCAUCAGAUUGUCCCAAGUCCAAGAAGAAAGGAUCAAAACAGUAUGGACAUAUGGUAGACUCUGCAUUCCCUGUGGACACAUGCUCUACUAGUGAUAAGUUGUCUCAAGCCAGUUCAUCCCAGACUACUUCGAGUCCUACUCCUCAU